CGGCAACACGUCACAAUAUAUAUUUCCUUUGUGCUGCAAUACAAAUUAGUGUGAGGUGAAAGUCUUCUCCUGAACUAAACAAGAGAAAUUGUGAUAUGGCAGAAAAGUCACUGCGUUUGAAUCAGCGAGUUGAGGUGACUGGGAAAGAUGUUUGUGGUGGUAAUGCUUAUGUUGGCAGUACUGACUUUGCAAGUUGAAAAUGGUUUGGUGUUAUACUUGAUAAACCAAAAGGAAAGAAUAAUGGGAAAGUCCAAGGAAAAUCAUAUUUUAAAUGCAAAAAGAACCAUGGGCUAUUUGUGCGAGAAUCACGGCUGAUUUUAUUAGAUGAUGAUAGUGGUAUCCGAAUCCGUGAUGCUACAAGUACGUCUCCAGGUUCUUUCACUGUUGGUGGAAUAUCACGAUCCGCAUUAAGCAGGUGUGUAAAUAUUUAUUUCUUGUUUCUUGGCAACGUAUGUGAUUUAUCUCCUUGUCAGGUUUUUGAUUGAUAUUUUCUGCUCUGUUUUAAUCUGCCCAUCGGAACUCUCUAAAUAUGGCAGUUAGUGUGUUAACAUUACUUAAUUAUAAAUAACUUUCUAUGUCUGUGCAUUCGUAGGAAAGCUUAGAAGGUCUCUAAAUGCUAGAGAUCGCAAAUUUUUAUUGAAUGGGCUAUUUCUUAACGCAACCUUUCUCACGAAAAGAAAUUUAAUGAGGUCAGAUAGGACUUGUAGAAGGUUGCACAGUUGGCCCAAAAACCUGGCAUAACAUUUUCUCUGUUGCUUCUUUCUGUAAAAAUGUUGCAGCACCAGCUUGUUGGCAUUCCAAAGUACAGUGUUUCCAGUUUCUGGAUUUUUUUUACCAGCAUACUGCUUUCUUUGGAGCAGUGUUAUCAUACUGAGAAAAAGGUGGUCUAUGCUUGUGCUAUGCGAUUGUCACAAUAAAGUGAAAGGAAUGAAUAUUUCAAGAGAUUUUAAACAUUUAAAAAAUCAUGAAAGACUUUUUUUGAGUUACAAGCUGUGUCAUGUGGCUGAAUGGGGAAUAAAACUUAUCUUCUGCCAACGUUUCGAAAGCAAUCUCUUUGUAUGCAAAUUAUUUUAUGAAAUGUAUUACUUGAAACUGUGGCAUUCCUCCUGGCCUGGUGCAUAUGUGUGUGUAUGUAUAUAUGUUACAGUGUAUUAUAUUGGGAGUAGUAAAUGUGUUCUGUUUGAUUUAUGUGUUGGUAACCAUCUUGCGGGACAAUACCAACUAGUAAUGUCCUCAGAUAACAUGUUUAAUAUAUUAAAUAGGGUAUAGCAUUUGAAAACUUGUAAUUUCCUUUCUCUUAAUUUAUCCCACCAGAAAGUAAAACAAAAUGGCACAAUAUUUGUUUUAAAUGUGUGCUUGAA